GAGAAAAUUCGCAAGGAUUGCUAACCCAUGCCUCCGUACUUAAAACUAUGGCUUUCUCA
rnacentral:tRNA from 3 species